rnacentral:lncRNA from 1 species
AAAAAGUUUAGUUUUGAUUUAGUUAGUGAAAAAGAUUUCAGUUUUCAGAUGAAAGAAAACUGAAAGAAAUUGUUGUCAGCAGAUCUCCACUACAAAAAAAAAACCAAAGGAAGUGCUUCUUCAGGAUAAAGGGAAGAGAUACCAGUGGAAAACUUAGAUCUAUUCAAGGAGGAAUGAAGAACACUGAAGAUGGUAAAUAUGUGAGCACUAUUACCAAGUCUUCCUCUUAAUUUCUUUAAAAUACAUUUAACUUUUUAAUACUUUUUUUUUUUUGAGACAGGGUGUUGCUGUCACCCAGGCUGGAGUGCAGUGGCCCAAUCUCUGCUCACUGCAACCUCCGCCCCCAGGGCUCAGGAGAUCCUCCUGCCUCAGACUUCAGCUACUGGGAACAGUAGCUGGGACCAAGAUGUGCAUCACCACGCCCAGCUUGUGUUUUUGUUUUUGUUUUUUCAGAGUUUUGCUCUUGCUGCCCAGGCUGGAAUGCAAUGGCACGAUCUCGGCUCACUGCAACCUCCGCCUCUAAGGUUAAAGUGAUUCUCCCACCUCUGGCUCCUGAGUAGUUGGGAUUACAGGCAUGUGUCACCAUGCCCAGCUAUUUUUUUUUUUUUUGUAUUUUUAGUUGAGAUGCGGUUUCACCAUUUUGGCCAAGCAGGUCUCAAACUCCUGAACCUCAAAUGAUCCACCCGCCUCAACCUCCCAAAGUGUUAGGAAUACAGGCAUGAGCCACCGCUCCCAGGCCAGUAAGUGGAGUUGUUGAACAGGAAUAUGGAUAUAUGGAGUUUAGGAGACAGGUCUGGGACGGAGAUUAAAAUAUGGGCAGAAUCGGCCGGGUGCGGUGGCUCAUGCCUGUAAUCCCAGAACUUUGGGAGGCCGAGGCGGGCGGAUCACAAGGUCAGGAGAUCGAGACCAUCCUGGCUAACAUGGUGAAACCCUGUCUCUACUAAAAAUACAAAAAAAAUUAGCCGGGCGUGGUGGCGGGAGCCUGUAGUACCAGCUACUCGGGAGGCUGAGGCAGAAUGGCGUGAACCUGUGAGGUGGAGCUUGCAGUGAGCCGAGAUCACGCGACUGCACUCCAGCCUGGUAACACGACGAGACUCUGUCUCAAAAAAAAAAAAAGGGCGGAAUCUGGCCAGGUGUGGUGGCUCACAUAUGUAAUCCCAGCACUUUUGGAGGCCAAGGUGGGGAGAUCACUUGAGGCCAGCAGUAAUUUUUAAUAAGGUUGGAUUUAGGGCUGCCAUUUUACUAUUUUCUUUUUCUUUUUUUUUUUUUUGAGAUGGAGUCUCACUCUGUUGCCCAGGCUGGAGGGCAGUGGCGCGAUCUCAGCUCACUGCUCCGCCUCCUGGGUUCACACCAUUCUUCUGCCUCAGCCUCCCAAGCAGCUGCGCAGGUAC